UCCACGCCCCCGCCGCCCUCGAAGGCAGGGACCAGCAAACACCCCCUUCCUAGCAGAGCCGGUCAAACACUGUCACGCUGGGGGACACUCCAAAGCAGCUGCUUAAGGCAAAACAUGGCCGGGGGGGGUCACCAGCGCAUGUGUCACUGCACUUCCCUGGGCCAUGCCAGUGCACCCUUGGCUCCGGAGCUGGUCGUAGGUGUGACGAAGUGGGACUGUUCUUAAUGUUUCCUCUGAAUAGUGUGGGAGGUGCCUCAGUUUCCCCAUGGCAGUUCUUAAGUAUCUAGGGGGUGGGGUAAGGGUGUAUGAUCAUUGCAGAGCCCUAGAGGGCAGGUGUGUGCAGGGGUCUGGACACAGAGAAUGGCCGACACCCUGUUUCCUGGCAACGGAUGGCCUGGCCCUUCCCCCCUGCAAGGUGAGAGCUAAAGGGUUGGAGAACAAAGGAAUCCGGUGACCUCCUGGCCCGGGAAAGGGACAAAGCCCAGAGGAGGAGGGGCUGGAGAGAGUUUCAGUUUGGGGCUGGCUGGGGACAUGGAGUGAAGGGCAGACGUGGUUGUCUGGCUCACUGCCCCCAAAAUGGACCCAGCUGAGAGGUCCUGUUCUCUGCACCUACAAGCUCUGUGUUAGACCAUGUUCCUGUCGUCUAAUAAACCUGUUUUACUGGCUGGCAGAGAGUCACGUCUGACUGCGGAGUUGGGGGGCAGGACCCUCUGGCUUCCCCAGGAGCCUGCCUGAGCGGACUCGCUGUGAGAAGCGCACGGAGGGGCAGAGGAUGCUGAAUGCUUCGAGGUCAGACCCAGGAAGGUGGAAGCUGUGUGAGCUGUGUGCCCUCCAGACAGGCUGCUCACAGAGAGGAGACUUCCCCAGGGUCCCGCUUGGCUUCGUAGGGAGCAGUUCCAGAGCAUCGCCCAGGGACUCCGUGAGAACUGGUGGCAGAGCUGGGAUCUACUGCACCCCAUGGAUGGCACUUCCUGCACUGAUCAAACCUGUGGCCCGGUUCUCUGCUUGGUUACGCUAGUGACUCCAGAGCAUCUUCAUCUACAAGCAGAGAGACGUUGGCUUUACCUGGGGUCACUGAGCACAGGAUUCGUCUGGCUGUGCUUCGCUCUCAGACUGUCGAAGCUGCAUUUCUGCCCUGCCUCCGGGGGGGGAGCCCGCACUGCCCCAGCGCUGCUUGAGGACGCAACGAGAACUCUGUGAUUCACAAAGAACCUUAUUCAA